rnacentral:rRNA from 1 species
UUAAGCGACUAAGCGUACACGGUGGAUGCCCUGGCAGUCAGAGGCGAUGAAGGACGUGCUAAUCUGCGAAAAGCGUCGGUAAGGUGAUAUGAACCGUUACAGCCGGCGAUGUCCGAAUGGGGAAACCCAGUGCAAUUCGUUGCACUAUCGUUAACUGAAUACAUAGGUUAACGAGGCGAACCGGGGGAACUGAAACAUCUAAGUACCCCGAGGAAAAGAAAUCAACCGAGAUUCCCCCAGUAGCGGCGAGCGAACGGGGAGCAGCCCAGAGUCUGAAUCAGCUUGUGUGUUAGUGGAACGGUCUGGAAAGUCCGACGGUACAGGGUGAUAGUCCCGUACACCAAAAUGCACAGGCUGUGAACUCGAAGAGUAGGGCGGGACACGUGGUAUCCUGUCUGAAUAUGGGGGGACCAUCCUCCAAGGCUAAAUACUCCUGACUGACCGAUAGUGAACCAGUACCGUGAGGGAAAGGCGAAAAGAACCCCGGCGAGGGGAGUGAAAAAGAACCUGAAACCGUGUACGUACAAGCAGUGGGAGCACCUUCGGGUGUGACUGCGUACCUUUUGUAUAAUGGGGUCAGCGACUUAAUAUUCUGUAGCAAGGUUAACCGUAUAGGGGAGCCGCAGGGAAACCGAGUCUUAACUGGCGUUAAGUUGCAGGGUAUAGACCCGAAACCCGGUGAUCUAGCCAUGGGCAGGUUGAAGGUUGGGUAACACUAACUGGAGGACCGAACCGACUAAUGUUGAAAAAUUAGCGGAUGACUUGUGGCUGGGGGUGAAAGGCCAAUCAAACCGGGAGAUAAGCUGGUUCUCCCCGAAAGCUAUUUAGGUAGCGCCUCGUGAAUUCAUCUUCGGGGGUAGAGCACUGUUUCGGCUAGGGGGUCAUCCCGACUUACCAACCCGAUGCAAACUACGAAUACCGAAGAAUGUUAUCACGGGAGACACACGGCGGGUGCUAACGUCCGUCGUGAAGAGGGAAACAACCCAGACCGCCAGCUAAGGUCCCAAAAGUCAUGGUUAAGUGGGAAACGAUGUGGGAAGGCACAGACAGCCAGGAUGUUGGCUUAGAAGCAGCCAUCAUUUAAAGAAAGCGUAAUAGCUCACUGGUCGAGUCGGCCUGCGCGGAAGAUGUAACGGGGCUAAACCAUGCACCGAAGCUGCGGCAGCGACACUAUGUGUUGUUGGGUAGGGGAGCGUUCUGUAAAGCCUGCGAAGGUGUGCUGUGAGGCAUGCUGGAGGUAUCAGAAGUGCGAAUGCUGACAUAAGUAACGAUAAAGCGGGUGAAAAGCCCGCUCGCCGGAAGACCAAGGGUUCCUGUCCAACGUUAAUCGGGGCAGGGUGAGUCGACCCCUAAGGCGAGGCCGAAAGGCGUAGUCGAUGGGAAACAGGUUAAUAUUCCUGUACUUGGUGUUACUGCGAAGGGGGGGACGGAGAAGGCUAUGUUAGCCGGGCGACGGUUGUCCCGGUUUAAGCAUGUAGGCUGGUUAUCCAGGCAAAUCCGGAUAAUCAAGGCUGAGGUGUGAUGACGAGGCACUACGGUGCUGAAGUAACAAAUGCCCUGCUUCCAGGAAAAGCCUCUAAGCAUCAGGUAACAUCAAAUCGUACCCCAAACCGACACAGGUGGUCAGGUAGAGAAUACCAAGGCGCUUGAGAGAACUCGGGUGAAGGAACUAGGCAAAAUGGUGCCGUAACUUCGGGAGAAGGCACGCUGGUGUGUAGGUGAAGCCCCUGCGGGUGGAGCUGAGACCAGUCGAAGAUACCAGCUGGCUGCAACUGUUUAUUAAAAACACAGCACUGUGCAAACACGAAAGUGGACGUAUACGGUGUGACGCCUGCCCGGUGCCGGAAGGUUAAUUGAUGGGGUUAUCCGUAAGGAGAAGCUCUUGAUCGAAGCCCCGGUAAACGGCGGCCGUAACUAUAACGGUCCUAAGGUAGCGAAAUUCCUUGUCGGGUAAGUUCCGACCUGCACGAAUGGCGUAAUGAUGGCCAGGCUGUCUCCACCCGAGACUCAGUGAAAUUGAACUCGCUGUGAAGAUGCAGUGUACCCGCGGCAAGACGGAAAGACCCCGUGAACCUUUACUAUAGCUUGACACUGAACAUUGAGCCUUGAUGUGUAGGAUAGGUGGGAGGCUUUGAAGCGUGGACGCCAGUCUGCGUGGAGCCAACCUUGAAAUACCACCCUUUAAUGUUUGAUGUUCUAACGUUGGCCCCUUACCGGGGUUGCGGACAGUGUCUGGUGGGUAGUUUGACUGGGGCGGUCUCCUCCCAAAGCGUAACGGAGGAGCACGAAGGUUAGCUAAUCCUGGUCGGACAUCAGGAGGUUAGUGCAAUGGCAUAAGCUAGCUUGACUGCGAGCGUGACGGCGCGAGCAGGUGCGAAAGCAGGUCAUAGUGAUCCGGUGGUUCUGAAUGGAAGGGCCAUCGCUCAACGGAUAAAAGGUACUCCGGGGAUAACAGGCUGAUACCGCCCAAGAGUUCAUAUCGACGGCGGUGUUUGGCACCUCGAUGUCGGCUCAUCACAUCCUGGGGCUGAAGUAGGUCCCAAGGGUAUGGCUGUUCGCCAUUUAAAGUGGUACGCGAGCUGGGUUUAGAACGUCGUGAGACAGUUCGGUCCCUAUCUGCCGUGGGCGCUGGAGAAUUGAGGGGGGCUGCUCCUAGUACGAGAGGACCGGAGUGGACGCAUCACUGGUGUUCGGGUUGUCAUGCCAAUGGCACUGCCCGGUAGCUAAAUGCGGAAGAGAUAAGUGCUGAAAGCAUCUAAGCACGAAACUUGCCCCGAGAUGAGUUCUCCCUGAGACUUUAAGUCUCCUGAAGGAACGUUGAAGACGACGACGUUGAUAGGCCGGGUGUGUAAGCGCAGCGAUGCGUUGAGCUAACCGGUACUAAUGAACCGUGAGGCUUAACCUU